CUUACUGUGCUCUCUUCUAGUUGACUCAGUUACUCACCCACUGACGUUAAGUCCAUUCUUAGAGCUUGUGACGAGGGAAAAAGGAAGAUAUUUAAAAACAAGACCUAAAACAACACUGAGGAUUUUUUUCCGCCAGGGCUCAAAUCUUGUUGUCUGGUGUUCUGAUCUACUGAGUGCCAUGAGGCUUUGGUCCAUCAGGUGUGACCAGGGACCCAUGGCGGUGUGAAGCGAGGCUUAGCAGAGGCCAGAAGACAAGAGCAUCCACAGUGUUCCAGUGUGGCAGAGACUGACAUAGAGCGCAAGAGGUAUGGACAUGCA